GUUGUUGUUGUUGCUAUCUCUUGGGCCGCUUCCGCGGCAUAUGGAGGUUCCCAGGCUAGGGGUUGAAUCGGAGCUGUAGCCACCGGCCUAUGCCAGAGCCACAGCAAUGCGGGAUCCGAGCCGCGUCUGCAACCUACACCACAGCUCACGGCAACGCCGGAUCGUUAACCCACUGAGCAAGGGCAGGGACCGAACCCGCGACCUCAUGGUUCCUAGUCGGAUUCGUUAACCACUGCGCCACGACGGGAACUCCCUCAACUGUUUUAUUAUUAUUAUUAUUAUCAUUUGCUUUUUAGGGCCGCACCCACAGCAUAUGGAGGUUCCCUGGCUAGGGGUUGAAUCGGAGCCACAGCCGCUGGCCUAUACCACAGCCACAGCAAUGCAAGAUCCCAGUCACAUCUGGGACCUACACCACAGCUCACAGCAAAGCUGGAUCCCUGACCCACUGAGCAAGGCCAGGGAUUGAACCCACGUCCUCAUGGAUCCUAGUCAGGUUCAUUAUGCGAAGCCAUGACAGAAACACCUUCGCCUGCAUUUCUUCUGUGAGCUAUUCUCCACUAAGUAGCCUUAAAACCCCUCUCCUUUUUCACACAUGCUAGAAUAUGGUAUGGCUUACUCCCUCACCUUGAAGUCUUUGCUCAAUCUUCAUCUCUUCUUUGAGACCCAUCACAAUCCAACCCUGGUGUGCCCUGUUUUCCUUCCAUUGCUUGAUUAUUUUCCCUUAUUAUGUAUCAAUUUCUAAAACAGUAUAUGUUUUACUUACAUGUUUUUACUGUUUCCAUCCUCUAGAACAGAGGCUAGCAAAUUAUAGCUCACAGACCAAAACUGGCCCACCAUCUGUUUUUGUAAAUAAAGAUGUAUUGGGUCACGUCCACAUCCAUCCCUAGCCCACUGUAUUGUCUAUGGCUGUUUUCACGCUACAGUGGCAGAGUUGAGUAGUUGUGACACAGAUAAUCUGAUGUGCCAAGCCUCAAAUAUCUACUAUCUAGUCCUUUACAGAAAAAGUUUUCUGACUCCUGCACUAGUCUGUAAGCCCCACCAUGGCAGGAAUUUUCACCAUCUUGCUUCCUGCUAUAUUGCCAGUACCUAGAACAAUGCCUGGUGCAUGGCAGAUAUUCAAUACUGGUUCACUGAGGAAAAUACAAAAUAGAAAUUCCCUGAAAAAUACUUUGGCUAAACUUAAAAUUUCAAAGUUUAUCUGGUUUUUGAUUCUUUAUACCAAUACCUAGUAUUUUUAUGGUUAGGCAAAUAUCACCUUUUGUAUUUUUACUGCACUAAAAGAAAAAAAAAAAGAAUUCUCUCCCAUUCACUUAGAAAUAUAAUUGUCUUACACUUGUCAGUUUCUUCUGAGAGUAAGCCUCCAAUUAUCUUUCCUUGGUAUAGAAACCUAGCUUAUGCUAAAGCCAACAGACUGGAGCUGAGGCAAAAGAGAACAGUCAAGGAUAUGAUCAGGGUUUGGUAGCAAAUGGAAGGGUAGAUAUACCAUGAACUGAGAUAGGAGACUGUCCACUGGGGUGGGAGAAAAUAAAGCCAUGGCAAUGGAUGAGAAAACUCAGUGACUAGUAUAGAUAGAGAGCAGAAGAGAGACCAGAAAAAGCUAAAACCUAAGUAGAAGGAAAGGACCAAAUGCUAAUGAGUUCAUGCUCUAGAACUCCAGCAAGGGACAGAUACUAAAAGUACCAAGUAGUAGAAAGGAGGAUGCAAAUGAGGCCCAAGACAGGAAGACUGACUGAGAGUCUGCAUUAAAAAAGUCAAACUUUCAGUUUCCUCUCCUCCCUCCCUCAGCCCAGUGAGUGCCUUCACUCUUGGCAGAAGAAUGGAGGUGUCUCCAAAGGAUGAAGCAGACUCUGGACUUGGGGAUACAAGGGAUACAAGAGAUACAAGGUCCGAGGGAGAAUGGGAGUGCUACACCCAGAGAGAAUAAUUACGUAAAAGCCUAGAUGCUGAACACUGAAACCUCCUGCUUCAUCCCCUAAUCAGCCAUCAGUGAGGUUUAUAUACUUAAGAAAAAUACUGGAGGAUUACUCUCAGGAGAAAAUGAAAAGUGUAAGACAGAAAAUUCAAAAAACACCCAAAGAUACCCACACUUGGGGAUUUUCUCCAAAAUCCCAACCCUGCAGGAGCAGUGUGAAAUGAAGCCACCAGCCAACAAAGCUCAACUCAAGCACACAGAACUUCUGAUUUGCUCUUUAGUGGCUCACUUUUAAAUAUCAACUCUGCCGAAGAUCAUCACAAAAGCCACUAAAAUGACAAACAAGCAAAAAUGAAAAAAAGAAUCUGGAUGAAAUAGAGAAAAAGCAGGGAGAUUAAAACUUUCAAAAUAUCACUAUUAGUAAGCUAAAAGAAAAAGUAAAUACAGAGCAGCUAUGAAACAAGAAGGAAGGCAUAUAAAGAGGUAUAUCAGAGAACCAAAAAAGAGCUCUUGGAAAACGUAAAUAUGCUAAUUCAAGAGAAGAGUUGAAAAAAUAAAUUUGAAGACCUUUCCCAGGAAGGGGAAUAAAAAAGACAAAGCGAUGGAAAGCAGUGGGAAAAUGGCAGAGAACUAGUCCACAAAGUUUAAAUUAACAUAGAAUGUGGAAGGGAAAAAGGAGGAAAUUAGUAAAGAACUAGUCCAAGAAAAGUUUUCAAAACUGAAAAAUAUGCACUUCCAGACUGAGAGAGCCCGCCAUGAAUUCAGAAAAUAGGUAAAAACAAACAAAAAAAAGUCCCUCAAAAAAGCAUAUGACUGGAAUUUUAUAAACACUGGUGACAAAAGAUCAUAAGAACUGAGAGAAAAAGAGAGGGGGUAUCAUAUACAAAUGUCAAGAAAUGGGACACAUUAGGCAUCGUAACGGCUACAAAACAAUGACUACAUGCAGAGUGAAAAUGACUCUGAACACAGAACUCGCAACUCUGCCAAAUUUUUAUUCUAAAGAUUAAAAUGAAGACUUUCAAGACAAAUUGUUUAAUAAAUAAAUAUUACCAUAUUAUACUCUAUAGCUAGUCUGUGAAUAACAUCUGAUUAUACACAGGGUCAACACUUACUACUGAUGCAGCCUAACUGUAUUGGGACAGUGUGCAAGAAGCAGCUGGAGUGUGUGCCUGUAGAUGUGUGUAGCUGGAGGGGAGUUUAAAAUGAUGACCAGUACUUUUGAAAUCCUGGUCUAUUCAUAGUGAAUAUUUUUUCUUCCUCAGUCCACUUCUCUGCUUCUCAUGAAAAAUCCCUCCAUCUAUUCAGAGAAAGUCAAGUAGAGCAAUGACUGCCAAAGACGAGAUCCCAGCAGCCUUUGUCAAAGACCAAAUCAGAGGUGGCGGAAAAGGCUGAGGGAGAAAGGGAGAGAUGACGGACGGCUUUAAUAAAUGUGGGGGACAAACCGGAGCAUUAAAACACCCCUGAGUGAUUAAAAACUCAAAGGCUACGAAGAUUAGAACAAAUUCAUUUUAUGGAACAUGUCCCUCUGUUUGUAGAAUAUAAUAAAAAUGACAGGAAGGAAGGUAAGAAAGGAGGGAGGGAAGGAAAUUUCCCAGGCUCUUCCUGCCUAACAAAUUAUGUACUCCUAAUUUUUUGUUUGUUUUAAUAAGCUGCUUUAUGCUCUUAAAUCACUAAGCACCUAACUCGCUUGAAAUUAUGUAUACAUACAUAAUAUAUACAUGUAUUGUAAACAUGUCUCUCCCCCAUCAAAAGCUUAGUAUGGCCUUGAUUGUAGAUUUUUUUUAUAGUCUUCUGCAUACAACAGGGCCUAAUAUACGUGUGCUACUAAUAAUGUCUUUCUAUUUCUCAUCCAUCUUUCUUACUCCAGUAAAGGAAACUGUGGCAAAGAUCUCCAUAAUCCUGCCUUACAAAAUUGGAAACAAAAGGUCUUUGUUUAUUUUUAGAGAACAUAAAUUGUAUUUUUAAGGACCUAAAAUUAAAAUGAAGGAGACAACUAACUACAUAAUUAUCUCUGCUAAGAACACUGACAUUUACAAAAAGUAGCAAGGUUGCCCAUUCAUUCACAUUUAAUUGAUAUAAUAACCACAAACAUUAUUUUACAUAUAUAUAAAACAACUAGCUUGAAAUUCAUUUCCAUUCAGGACAAGGGAUAAAAUGGCAUCGAGUACAAAAUAAGAAACCUCAGCAUCACUAGCCUGCCGCUGUCAAGUAAGGCUUGUUAAAAUGCAAAUGUUUAGUGGACUAGCGGUACAAAGCACAAUGCAUGGAAACUUGUGUCCAUCAGAUCUAUAUUGUUCCAUACCUCAACACUCUAAGGAAAAACCCAGCAACUCAUCUCCGAACACUCUGAAGUAAACGCAGAAGAUACAAAGACAUGCAUUUAUAAAAUCUAGUAAGACUGAACUGCAACUGGAAGAUCCAAUCUCUUUGCCAUAAAAAUACACAAGAUAUCUUGGCAAGAACUUGAAAUUAGGUUACAAUGUCCAGUAUGAUCUGCUCUGUGAGCAUGUCAUGCAACAUGGCAAAAUAUGCAACUAAAUGACGUUUCUUUUAAAAAAAUGCUUCAAACUCAGGAACUGAAUUUCCCCUGCUUACACUACAGUAACAACAUAAGGAGGACACAGAAGGAAAACUGAAAGAUAACUAUUUAAAAAAUAAUGUUAUACAAAUUAUUACAAGUAAAAAUAUUUUGAAAAUAAUGGAUAAAAUACAUGAUCUGGUAACUGUGUUAUAAAAAAUAUAAAGUGCAUGAAAUAAGAGAAUCUAUCAUUAGCUUAAAAGCAAUUACUUCUACUUUUCACCAAGGCAUCCAUGCAAAUUUCUUGCAUGUUUUUAACCUUUAAAGUAAUACAGGGGAAAACAUCUAAUAAGUGAACAUAAUGCAAAAGGGUUGUUUCUUAAGCAGACUGUCUCCAUUUUGGCUACAUUUGGUCAGAAAUGCUACUAAGAAUGACCUAACUAAAUUUAAAAAAUUGGUAAUUUGAUUUAUCUGAAAAGAAAAACUUUAUCCCUAGUCUUCAUUUACUGUUUCAUAGUUCUUUCAUGGAUAACAUACUUAAAAAUGGGUAUCUUCACAUUUUUAAACUUAGGUACAAUGUAAAACAAAGUAUUUUUGUAAUUAGAAUGCAAUUCUAGAGAUAUCAAGCUUACUAGAAGUUUGAUUGUAUUUUUCUCUUUUCUAUUAGAAAAUACAUUCCAUUAAGAAUAGAAAUGCAUCUGCUGACUUGGAAGACAUUAGCUUUUUUUUCUCUAUCACCCUCUACCAAGCAGACAGCUAAGCUAUUUCCUUAAAAAUAAAAAUUCUGUAGCACAAUGUCACUCAUUUAUGACAACAAUUAGGACUGAAAUGAUAUAUAAUGAGAAUACUCAUUUGGAAAGUGGGAUUAUCUCAUAGUGAACACAAGAGGAGCCAGAAUGAACAGUUUAUAAGUUAUUAUCACAAGUUGUAAGGCACUUCCUAAUUGUAAAGAAAUUUCCUCUUAGGGAGAAACCUACCAAAUAAAGUAUGUUCACUAUAUGUCAGAUUUUUACAAAGAUAGUCAAAGGAAACAUGACACAAAUAGCUGUCUUUAGAAAAUGCCGCAGAAUACCUACUCUUAAAAUCAAUUAAUCAGGAAGAUGGUGGUGGACCCUUAAUUCAAGGAUCCCAACUAGAACUUCAGGAUUUCCUUUUUCUUAGCCCUUAAUCUUAAUUUAGCAAAUAUAAUCAGUCUCUGGAGGGGGGGGUGAUAAAAACAGGAAGUCCUAAUUGGAAUUAUAGGUCUUUACUAGUAAAUGCCUUUUUCUAACAUCUGCCAGCUUCAUUACUAUUAAAAACCUUAAGAUUUGUAAAAACUCUAUCCUUUUAUUUCAAUUUCCUUUCAACCACUGUGUACUUAAUUGCUAAUUUAUUCUUCUACAUAUUCCUUUAUCUUUUGCUUGUGUAUUUAUUCCAUUUCUUCUUUGAACACAGUUUCAAGGGCACAGAUGUCCAU
rnacentral:lncRNA from 1 species